AGGCAGAGGCAGGUGGAUCUAUGUGAGUUUGAGGCCAGCCUGGUCUACAAAGCUGUUUCUAAGCAGUGCAAUUAGUAGCGCUUGCCUGUCCUAGAUGCCUCAGCUCUUUGAUCUUGAUAGGCUAAUGGCGACCGCCAGGAGUAUUCAAACAGGACGCUGCCUGUCAGCUUCCAGAUUCCCUUGUCAGGAACCUGUUUUGAGGCCAUCAAGUGACUUCUUGAAUAUGACCCUGUGCCCCUAAACUCUUUUUAACCAUCAUUUCCCUUCGGGUUUCUUUCCUUUUUUCUCCAUGUUUGUCCUGGUAGGGCAUAAACCAGAUCAAGCCUGAGGCUCACGAUGUGAUUCCACCAUGAAUUUCUUCUGUGUGUCUCUCUUUCUUCUUAAGGUGAUCAGGCAAGCCAAAAGGACACUCUCUUCUUCUCCUGCUGUCUUGAGCACCUUGUGUUGUUCGCUCAGCACGAUUCCGUCUUAGCAAUAAAUCCCCGACAAGGAUGUUGUGAUCUCUCUGAUUUAAUCGGCAUUAAACCCUCUGAGUCCUCAUAUCCUUCCUCUCCCAUUUCUUAAAAUAGUCUGCAGCACUCAAGUCAAGCAUCCUAUCGACUUCCUUGUUUCUAAUAUUGCAUAAUCCUGCAAGAACACUUUCCCCUAUUCUCCUUAAGGAGCACACAUAAUCAAAACGUUCUCACACGAGAACCUGUGGGUCGGGUGGUCCAGGCAGCCCUGAGGUUAGUGGGGCACAUUGCUGCCCGGAUGACCUGAGCGCUUGCUAGAUUGAAGGGAUGUUUCCUAUCCCUUCGCUGCUUAACUGGCUUAGAAAGACCUGCUUUGAGCUAAGGAAAAAUGGUGGGUGGAACAGUGUUCAGCAGGCACCGAGAGCACCUCCCGAAUGACGAGAUCCAAAGACACGGGGAUGGGGUCUCAGGCCAGACUCGGCAGAGGGGAUGCACUUUAUGAUCCAUCUGCCUUGUUUGCAGGUGAGUGAAUGAGGAGAGAACACGGUUACAUGGAAGCCGUUAUGGACAUGAAAGCCAAACCCACCUUAAAGUUGUCACCGCGACCCCAAGUUGUAGGUGGACGCCAGAAGCGAAUUUAGACUCAGACCUGGGCAAAUUAGUGGAUGUGAUAUUCCAGGCUUAAGUAAACUCAGGUGGUUAAAACCAAGACAGCAUCCCUAGCCCAGGCUUGGUCCAUGAAUCUGGCCAUUCAUUUGUGGCCCACCACUGCCCUCUGGUGGCACUCUAAAAAAUGCAGCUUAGUUUUAAAGAUGGGGUUAGCGUGUCUGACUUAACCUGUUUGUUUGUUUGUUUGUUUGAGCACGUACCCUCGGUAUUUGGGUCUCAGGACCAGUUUAACUCACCUGCAUGAACCCAGUCAUGCUGUGAUGAGAAUAAAAUGAGCAGAAGACAGCGUAUCCCAUGCCUCUCUCUGGCCCUGCCGUUGUCAGACAAUCCAGCUACCUCUUGGGAACUGCCGUUUCUAUCAGACACUAUUGCUAUUGCGUGGGGCCUUUUAUCUGAGCUGUAGCAUUGAUCCUCUAAGAUGGGUGCGGUAAUUAGCCGUGCUACAGAUGAAGAAGUAGAGGCUCACAGAAGACGUCUGGCUCUUCACAUAUGAAUAUGAAUUCAGCCCCUGGUGACAACAACCUGUAAAGAUGUAAUUCCGUAUCCAGUCUCGCCCCGAGCAGAAUGCACAGGGAGAUAUGACUUUAAAGUAGUGUUCAAGCACACACAUACUUUCUGCAUGUUUUUUGGAAUCUGAGACUAAAUUCUAGAUGGGCUCUUAGCCUGUCACGCAGGGAUGGAGACUCCGGGAUGGAGGGAGCAGGACAGAGGCGUGGAAACCCUCUCACCCUGAGAAGACACCGUUUCUGGGGAUGAUGCGGCUGUCCAAUGGGUGUUGGAGAGCCAGAAGGCAGAUUCAAAGCGUUUGCGUUACCCCGCCCUCUCUACCUGCAAUUGAAAGCAGCCUCCGCUUUGGCCUGUAGAUGGCAGCCUAGGCUCAAUUGAACCCAAGCCUGGUUUGGUUUGGUUUGGUUUUGGGGUGCCCCAAUUCCCACCAGCUGAGAAUCACUUUCAGGGGGAGGCUUGGGGGUGUUAUAAACUGCUGGUGCAUGGGACUGGGCCUCGGAGACUCUGAUAGUGAUGAUCUCGUGGGUGACCGGGGCAAUUUGCUGUUGUUGGGUAUUUGCUUCCUUGCUCGCUCGCUUGCUUGGAGACAGAUGUUUGCUAUGUUGCUUCUGCUGGCAUCUAAAUCCUGGAAUCAAGUAAUCCUCCUGCCUCAGCCUCCCAGGUAGCUGGGAGUAAGAAUGCAUUUAUCCCACAGUGCCUGACCAUAAACGUCGUGUUUUACAAAGCUCCACAGCCGACUCUCCACCAAGGUUAGGAGUGACGGUUUGCACGCUGGGCGCCGUGGUUCCUGUGGGUUUGGUGGGCUGCUCAUUUGACGUCCUUUCCUUGCUGUACCUUGUGGAGCCUGGGCCCACAGAAAGAGAGGAGGACAAUGAGAAGGGGCGUCAUGUGGAGGAAUGAAGAAUACAGUCCAGACGGGAGAGAAAAUAAAGGAGGUUCUUCUCAGGCUGAGAGGAAGGAGCCUAAAGGGAGCCUGCUCGGCGAUUAAAACCCGUUUCCUUCCUUACAGAAAAGAACUACGCCAUGUAGAAGACUAAGGAUUGUUCUAGAAAGCUAGAAAACCUGCCCCUUCUACUGACCAGAGCUUUAACAUGAAUCCUGGUAGGGGCGCUGUGGACUUCAGGGCUUUGGGGGGGGGGGAGGACCUGGCCAGGCAGGGAAGUGGCAAGGAGUGGUAAGGGGUGUGGACAGCAGAAGUGGCUUCACAGAGAAAGUGGCGUCUUCCCAUGUGGACAUAUAUCCUGUGAGGCAUUAGCUGCUACAAAUGGUCCUCUCUUCCCAAUAGCUUCAUGCACAAGAAUGGAGGCUGGCUAGUCCAGUGCCUUCACGAAGAGGAACAGCAAGGGACCUGUUGCCAUAGCAACUCAUCAGGCACAGUCACACCACCAUGUCCCAAUUCUCAUCUUUGGGCAAAGCCUCAUCAUUGAGCAUCCCCCCCCCAAAAAAAAAAUCAUACUGAAUACGCAAAACUCCACGAUGAACAAAAUUUUAAAUUGAGACACGAUCCCUAUCUCCAGCUUUCCCUUUUACCUCAACUUGAAUAGCCAACAGCAUCGCUGUGGCACUUUCUAAUGAAUGCAGGCUGCAGUGGUGGGGAGCCCUUCGCUGUCCACCCACAUCUUUCCGGAGCCACUUACAGCACCUGUGGAAUGUGAGUUAUCACAGAUCUGUGAUCUGUCCGCUGAGAUAAAUUCUUUCCUCUUCAGUUUGCUUUUGGCCCUGGUGUCUUAUCACAGCCGUAGAAAGCAAGCCAAGAGAGAAACUGACAACCUAUAUUUUUACUUAAGAUUCCAGUAGGUCUUCCGGUCAUGAAAGCCUGGGUGAGUGGAUCUCUAGGAAUGCUUGUGGUUAUAGUAAUGACCACCGGCAUUGCCAGUUGGAAAAGCGAAACAAACAAAAACUUUACUUUCUUUUGCAAAAGUUUAUUUUAAUUGAUUGAAAACCACAUUACUCAUUAGGAACCCUGUGGUGUCUCAACCCACUGCACACUUGCAUAAUGUACCAAUAGUUCCAGAUCUGUGGGAACUGUGCUCCUAGCGGAGCAGUGGUGCCACCUAGUGGGAGAGUCUGGUACCGAGCACUCAAGGAUAACGCCAAACACAGCAUGACGUCCUGGAGCCUCGGCUUCAGCGCAGGUCUCUGGUAAGGGAGGCCAUGCUUAGGAACUUACACCGUGGUCGUUGAGAUGGAGCAGAUGGGAGACUGUGUGGACAGACGGGUCAGGAGGUAAGGGAGUAGGUAGGCGGGGUGUCCCCAAGGUAGAAAAGUCUCGUGACACAGCCACACACAGAUAGGGUGACCCUGAGACAGACUCUUAGCCCCUACUUUCCCAUCAGUGGAAGUGAGAGAGACCGAGACAAUAGAGAAUGUAUCUCUAACCUCUAUUAUCUUCACUUCACCUACUUGGGACAAAUAUGAGAAAAUCAAGUCCCCAGAGUCUUUGAAAACACAGGGUAUCAGGGUAGGCACUGGAAAUACAAAGAUAGGUAAGAUAGAAAGUUCGAUCGAAGUUGACCUGGGUACUGAAGUGGCUGAGGGGGGAGCAGGGAAAAGUCAAGGCCUGGUAAGCUACAGAGUGGGUUCAAAGCCAGCCUGAGCAACUCAGUGAGACCUUGUCACAAAAUAAAAAUAAAAAGUAAAUCAUAGGCUGGGGAUACAGCUUAGUUAUGAAGUCUCUGUGUAGCUUGUGUGAGGUCCAGAUUUGACCUCCAUGAUUGAAGACAGGGGCUGCUUCCAGAAACAUGUCAGAAUGUGCACUGGUGGCUGAGCUGGUGUGAAAAGACAGCCUAGCGGUGCGAGAAUUUCAGCAAACGGAAAGUGACCGUGUUUGCGGGGAAUCAAGUGAGGGUACUUUUCUUCUGUCACAGGUGGGAUGCAGCGUGAUCGUAACAGAGGCCAUGCGUGUUUGGGUAGAACUGUGGAGGGUCACACAGGUUUCACGCCGGCCUCUGAGGAGAUCUCCGUUGUGCUACACAGACUCAGCUGUGAGCUUGGACACUGUAUAUCGUUCCCAUUUUACUGUGGCUCACUUUACUCGAGUGGGAAAAGAAGAUGCGUUCCGGAGAAAUCAUACUUGGACUUGGAGAUUUUGAUCCUUUCCUGGGCUGGCCACACGGAUCUUUGAUGCCUUUUCAUCUAGGGUAGCAGCAGCAAGCUGUUCCCAGGGAGCCCCAUGGCCAUGAAGUAACUGGUCCUACUGUGUUCCCAGGGAGCCCCAUGGCCAUGAAGUGACUGGUCCUAUUGUGUUCCCAGGGAGCCCCAUGCCAUGAAGUGACUGGUCCUACUGUGUUUCCAGGGAGUCCCAUGGCCAUGAAGUGACUGGUCCUACUGUGUUCCGGGCAAAUGAGCCAAGAUGCUUGCCAGACUGGGAUGUCAAGCACACCCUCGACUGCUGCUGGCUUUUCAUUUAUGACGGCUAUGGCCCAGGUGCUCUUGAACCAAACAGCUAGUAAAGUCACGUGCAUCUCAGAGCAUGGGGUUUUUGUGUUGGGUAUUCUUUUAGUUAUUCUUUGGCAUUUUGCGUGUGUUUACGACGUGUCGUGAUUAUAUUUACCAGACCUGAAGCAGGAGGAUGGAAAAGGCAAGGCCUGGUAAGCAAGUCAGCCUGAGCAACUCAGUAAGAAGUUGUAAAACAGCAUUGAAACCGGAGGGCUGGGGAUGUCGCCUGUCUCCUUCCCACCUCCUGUCCUUCCCUUGUCUUUCUUCCUUUCCUGUGUGUUACCCGUUGAGUCCAGGUAGUGCUCCGCGGUGGGACACUGGCUGGUCCUGCGCAGCUAGAGCCGCAAUAAGUCGGCGAGUACAAUGGUCACAGCGUGUUCAGAAACCAAAACUUCACAACACUCCGCUCUGCUCUUGAGCUCUGACAUUCUGCUCAUUCUGUGUGUGUGCGUGUGUGCGUGUGUGUGUGUGUGUGUGUGCGUGUGCAUGUGUGUGUGCAUGUGUGUGCGUGUGUGUGUGUGUGUGUAUGUGUGUGAUGUUUCUUAUAUAGAGGCCCCAUUUACAGCCCCCAAAUCACUUAUUCUCUGAGCUUUAUUCACUUAGAAGUCUUUGCAUUAACUGCUACCCAUUUCAGACAAACACACACGCAUACACACACACACACACAGACACACACACACACACACACACACACACACAUGCUUAACAUUACAUCCAAUCUGCAGAAAAACAAUAUGGGUUUCCCCUCAGGAUCUAGAACCUCCUCAGCUGUGGGUUUUGGUCCAGUUUAAAAUGCCAGACCACAAAUCUCUUCAGAAAGUGGUUGGUUCGCCUCGUAACCUUUAUGCUGUACACCUUUGCCCAUCAGAUAAGUAUUGUAGCAGUCAGGGUUCACAUCUGGGCAAUACCACCAGUGGCUUCUCUCCUCCAGGGGCCAUCAUAGCACCUCCGGCACUGUGGAAGCGAUCUCUCGGGUGGGGGGUGGGGGUGGGGGAGAGUUUUCAGGUCAGGUCCAGCCUGAGUUCUCACAACCAGAGUGUAUUGUGUCUUCAGCAAUGGGAUCUUACCAUGGCUGUGGUGGGAAACCAAGAGCUUGUGUUGUUUGGGGGAGGGGUCUCUACAGCCUCCUUGACAAAUCAUAACCCCUAAAAAAAGUAUCCUGAAGUCUGACACAAUUUUAAUUUAAUAACCAUACCUUCUUGGGGGAAGCACUGUUCACCCAUGAAGAGUACUUGUGUUUAAACUCCUUUAAAAUUUUUUAUUUUUGCAAUUUAGCUGCAAGAUAGUGCAUUUCCAUAUGGGUUUUAUAGACAGACACCCACUUGAACCUUUAAUCCCUGGUACUACUCUCUCCUAUUUCACAUUCAAGAGACCAUGGGUUCCUCUUCACGACAGCCUUUAAAACCCAAAAGGGGAGUUCGAUGAAGUCAUGAAACAGAGUAAGAAAAACUGGUCAAAAUUGCUCUUUUCAUGUAGAGUAAUGAUUAAUAUUCAAACUGUCUUCUUAAUCUCUGGAGCUAGCUCAGGAUGGCGUAAGCCACUGAACCACUAUUAAUAUUUCCUUACAAAGAUGUCAAGAGGCACAAAAACCUGUGUGCAUUUCUUAUCUAUGAUUCGGACAGUGGAACAAAGGUGACAAAUUACUCAGUGUUGUGAGACAAGACAGAACCUGAGGGGAGGAAGCAAGGACAGUAACACUGUGCUGGGUGCCAAGCACUCGAGCCUUGGGUCAGGGUUUGGAGUCUCAGCUCAGGGAACUAUUCUGAUGACAGGCUACAGAAGUCCUGGACUCUUGUGGCUGGUGCCCAUUCCAGCAUCCAGGUAGCUGGGCUGGCACUGCCUUCUGAUCCCUCCCUGAGGUAAGCACAAAGGACGUAAGUAUCUGGAAAGCAUCCUAACAUAAGCUGCCCCUAAUCAUAAGGAUCACAGUCAAAGUGCUGAUUUUUUUUUCCCUAAAAGAUUAGUCUUUAUUCUGCAGUGUUUUGGAGACAAAGGGCUGUGUGCUUUUGCUCCUGAUGACCAAUAAUGUCAAGUCUUAUCUAUUGGGAGCAAUGCCCUUGAAACCCUCCAUUAUUGAUGUUAAUAUUAUGGUUAGGGUUAAGUAUGACUGGGUUCGUGGAAAAUCCCCUGCCACCUGCAGAGGACUAAUACAAAUCUGGUGGUCAGGAUGAAUAUUGAUAUGAUAAAGUUCUGACCUUGCUGAGAAAUACAUCUGACGUCAAGAUGCCCAAUGUGAUGACCUAUAACCUUUCUGAAGAACCAACAUCCUGCUGACUAAUAGAUAUGACAAACCUGUGACCUUUCUGACAUCCUGUCAACAUCAGCCGAUUCCCUGACCACAAGAGAGCUGUGUCCUUGGCCUGUGUAAAUGUUUCCCACUUACCCCGUCCCUCUGUUACUCCUGUUAUGGUAUAAAUUCAGCCUUGAGAAAAAAAUAAAAUUGUUGCCUUGAUCAGA